GAACGCUGGCGGCGUGCUUAACACAUGCAAGUCGAACGGUGAAGCCCUUCGGGGUGGAUCAGUGGCGAACGGGUGAGUAACACGUGGGCAAUCUGCCCUGCACUCUGGGACAAGCCUUGGAAACGAGGUCUAAUACCGGAUAUUACCUUUGACCGCAUGGUCUUGGGUGGAAAGCUCCGGCGGUGCAGGAUGAGCCCGCGGCCUAUCAGCUUGUUGGUGGGGUGAUGGCCUACCAAGGCGACGACGGGUAGCCGGCCUGAGAGGGCGACCGGCCACACUGGGACUGAGACACGGCCCAGACUCCUACGGGAGGCAGCAGUGGGGAAUAUUGCACAAUGGGCGCAAGCCUGAUGCAGCGACGCCGCGUGAGGGAUGAAGGCCUUCGGGUUGUAAACCUCUUUCAGCAGGGAAGAAGCGCAAGUGACGGUACCUGCAGAAGAAGCACCGGCUAACUACGUGCCAGCAGCCGCGGUAAUACGUAGGGUGCGAGCGUUGUCCGGAAUUAUUGGGCGUAAAGAGCUCGUAGGCGG
rnacentral:rRNA from 1 species